rfam:Schistosoma mansoni strain Puerto Rico chromosome 5, complete genome
CUGCUGAGGAGUCCCACAAUAGGACGAAACGACCGUCAAACAG